CAGCAAAAAGCCAAAAUAGAGGCAUUUAAUUGUUAAUUAAAUAAUUGUGUAUUUACACUUUACUGG
rnacentral:tRNA from 1 species